CGGCACUGGAGGUGGGGACACUAUUUUCUUUGCUGUUGUAUGUUUUAUUUUUUCCAUGAUCCAGAAAAGAAGCUCUUUCUGGGGCUCCCAGGGACAGAUGGUGCAGAGGGAGAGACAGGAAGCUCGCAGAGGUCAUUGGUCAAAAGGGUGAAUCCAGAAGGAACCACCCAGAAGAAUGGGAAGGAAUCCUAGGCAUUCCCGGCCGGAAGGAAGCAGUGCGGUUUGUCUCCUCUCUCACUGCGCAGGGGCCAGUGGCUGUCCAGUCGGCACAGCCUGGCAGAGCACUCUGGGACUGGACUCCACAAUUCACGUGGACGCCCGUCCUUGACGUGCCGGUUUUUUCUAUUUAAUAUUUAUUUUCCAGUUGUGGGUGGACACGAUACCUUUAUUUUAUUAAUUUUUAUGUGGUGCUGAGGAUGGAACCCAGGGCCUCGCUCGUGCUGGGCGAUCGCUCUACGGCUGAGCCACACCUCAGCUUGGUUUUAUCUUUUAAAAACCCUGACAGGUAUCAGAGGAAAAUAAUUUAGUGCUUGUUGUUUACUGCAGUCAGCUGGGGCCGCCUUUCCCUGCACUUUUUUGCUGGUGCCUGUGGCUGUCCACCACGGCCACAAUGUGACAAUGUCAUUUGGCCGUAUCCCUCCUGUUACCUUUAGGGCUGUCUUAACAAAGGCCCUUUGUUAGGAGGUGACCCUAACAGGCAGCUUACCAACAGCAGAUGGUUAUUCUCCCGGUGCCGGGGGCUCGGGUGCCAGCGGGUUGCCAACGCCCUCAGAGCAGGAGGCCAGGUGCUCUCCGCGUCUCUUUGGUAUCACUGAUAUCCCAGCAGAGACUCCCCCAAGACCGUACCUGGCCCUGGAGGUGGGGACACGUGGCAGUGAGGAUUUCAAAGUACAAAUGUUGGGGACCCAAGCAGUCCCUGGCCUUGCUCCAUGAACUCUGGCGACAGACACACCUGGGCACUGCGCACCUGGAUGAAAGGUGAGCAGGACAGUGCACACUUGGAUAUGGCAGGCUUCUGGAUGCUUCCAGGGCUAUGGCCAGGGCUUCUAGGGAGGUGCUGGUGUUUGGGAUCUGCCAAAGUCUGAAGCCCACGGCGGUGCCCUGAGUAGUCACGCCUCUUCACCUAGGCACUGGCCACAGGGUCCACACCGCUCAGGUUUCCUGGUUCUGCCGUCCUCCCCAUGGCUGUGGACACCCCAGGACGGUCUUUGGGUGAAUGUUGGAGAUCGUUUUAGGCGUCUCUCAAUGUGGAACAGAGGAUCCUGAAAUUGAGUGUUUAACGGAGAACCACCAUUUCCUUCUUCCUCAGAUUUCUCUGGAUGGACAGACCCAGCCCGGGACUCCGGGCUGGAGGUGCUGAGUGGAGCGGCCACAGGGAAGACGGCCCCCUGAGCCCACUGAGGCGUGCGAGUGUCGAUGCAGGAGGCUGCCCACCUGCAGGACAGCGGGGAGAAGUGUGCUGUGUGAGUGCCUCACGACGGGGCGCCCAGGCUGCACCCGGGGUGUCUGGGAUCUGAGCCUAGACCAUAGGGGCCCUCAGGGCGGUGAGGGAGCUGCGUGUGCGCAGAGGAAACUUGGGGGUCCUGUGUCCAGCACAAGAUGCCCAGAGCAGCACCACCAGGUGGAAGCAGGACACGGAGCCAGGACAGGGCUGCAGCACAGGGACUGGGCUCUGGAGCCAAGUCCCAGCCCACAGCGGGACCCUGGGCCAGUUCCUUACACGGUCCAGAACAGGCAUCGGAGAGGUGGGCUGGUGUGAGUGGGCUGGUGGAACGUGGGCUGCCACCCGCCUUCCCGAGGUGCAGUCCCAGGAGGAGGGAGGGGCACAAGUAGGAGAAGUCCCAGUUGCCACAGUGUGGCAGCCACCGAUGAAUGGUCACUAACUCAAACCCAGGUGCAUAGCAGAGACAGGUGGCCCUGUGUCCUGGGAAGAGCAGAUUGGUUGUCGUCCCGCUUUUUUAUCCAGUUUAGACAAAGAUGGGCAAAAAAUAAUCUAAAAAAUAAUGAGUUUUUCCAAACAACAGGGACAGACGCACACAGACGGCCAGGUGGUGACACGCAGAGCCUGGAGGGCGCACCAGCCAUCCCAGGAGCCCAGGAGCAUGGUGACCCCCGGGAGCAGGAGGGUGGGGCGGAGGCUCCCUCCCAGCCUCAGAGGAAGCAGCCCUGCUGCCCCGUCAGCCCUGGCCUUCGGAACCCAGGGGAAAUGGAUUUCUGCUUCUCUAAGCCACCCAGUUAGUGACGAUUUGUCAUGGCAGCUCCUGGAAACUAAUACAGGUUCACAGACCUGAUUUUCCGUAUGCCGAUACAGACAUGCAUUUGUUAGGUAAAAGCCUGUGGGUAACGCUCAGUUCCUUCGACAGCGUUAUCGUGAUAAAAUGAGCUCAUUCAUACAUUUUAUAUGCCGAUAAAGACAAAAGAUCCAGGAUACACAAGGUUCCUCUUGUUUCAAUUAUUUUAUUCUUUUAAAUGACAAACAAUGUGGCAAGACAAACAGAAAAAAGAGUCUUCAUGGAACAAAUACCAGGGGAUCCGUGCACCUCAUCGAUCACCCUUCCAGGCCUGCGAACAGACGCCGCUCAGCAGCUACGUGUGCAGCGCCUCUGCAUCUGUGCUUGGGGAUCGCUCUUUGAGGACUGGGAGCAGAAAAUGCCCCCUGGGCUGCCAUGGAGAUUCCUGCUGCCUGGCUCCUGGUGUGAGCCGAUCCUGGGUGGCUUCGUCUCCCCAGGCCUCUGGGAGCCCAGUGCAGGCAGGUGACUCUGUCCUCCCGGAUGCAGUUCCACCCCAUAGAUCUUCCCAGUCCCUUUUCUGUGGCUAUUGCCGAAUACCAGAGGCUGGGUGUAAAGAUGUAAUGAUAAAGGUUUAUAAAGAUAAUAGGUUUGCUCAGCUCGAAGUUUUAGAGUGUGAAGGUUCAAGAUUGGGUGGCCCCUCAUGUUUGGCCUUUGGUGAGGGACCUUGGGAUGUCACAACAUGGUGGACGGCAUCAAGCUGAGGGUGUGAGGCAAGGAGCCUGAGGGUGGGAGGGGCCAGUCUUGACCUUCUGUGAGUCCUUCCAAGGGCACGCCCAGUCACCUCACCAGCUUCUCCUAGGCCCCGCCUCCCGUGCCAUCCUCUGAGACCCAGCCUCCGUGCCGUGGACCAGGAGGACAAGCCACAUCAGCCUAGGAAGACCCGGUCUGUGUCAGGUCUUGGGAGCUCCAGCCAGACCUCCUGCCCUUCUGCAGGAGGCCAAGAGCACCUUGUCCCUGAGAUGCAGCAGCGUCCCAGGACUUGUGCGAGGCCCGGGAGUACGUGGUCAGCACUUGCUUGGUCAGCACCACCUUACCCAGCCCCCACAGCUCUCGGAGACCUGCCUCCGUCACCAGGGGCUCCACCUGGCCCCUGCGGUGAUCCUGGAGAGAACCCCCUGCCCUGGGGGAGCAGGACCGGGUGGACAUCAGGUGCUCCUGCUCCUCGCAGAGCCUGGCCUGCUGGGCUCUGCCUCCGCCUGACCGCCAGCCCCGAUCCCUCCUGCCAUCUGUCGGGAAACAAAGACGGGAGGCCCAGUCAGACAGGGACUGUGGGGACGGAGGCUGCCCGCAGGCCAGCGAGGCUCCCCACACUUGAUGAGCUCCUCUGACCCAGCACCCCACGACUCACUGCCAGAAGGAAUGACAGGGGCACGGAGGCGGACACUCGGCUGGGAGGGACAGCAGCCUCAGGACCAGCCUCAGCUGGGGCCGGUGGCAGCGCGGCAGGUGGCACAGCAGAGGAUGAGCAGGUGGGAAUUUGGAACAGCGAUGACCCCCACAUGGCCCCAGCGGGUGUGGCCCGCUCAGGUCCUAGUGAAGGGACCUCUGGUUGCAUUCUCAGAAGGCAGAGAGACAGAGACAGAGACAGAUACAGAGCAGACGGGGAGACUGGCUCGUGCCGCCCUGAGGCUGGAAAGGGAGGGCAGCUGGGGAAAUGCAGGCGGAGCUGGUGCUGGCCACUGGAGGUCUGUCCUUCCCUAGGAGCCUCGGUUUGCUCUUAGGCCUUCGCCUGAUGGGACAAGACCCACCCACACCAUGAAGGUCCUCGGUGUCACUUGGCCAGCUGAUUGCAGGGCUUAACAGUACCUACUUCUGCAGUGACACUUGGACCAGGGUUCAACUGAAGAUCAGGACCCUGAAUUCUGGCCACAUGGACAAUAGGCCUGACCAGGGCAGGGGCUGGCAGAUGUACUCUGCCUGGCUGUGUCCCUCUUCCCUGCAGGCCAGCCUCUGGGGCUGGGCGUGUAUCUGCCGCCAGGCCUGUCCACUUAGAUUUUUGUGGCGGGACUGGCUGCACACCAGGGUCGUCAUCAACAGGCUCAUCUGGACUGUGCAGGUGACCAGGUGGCCUUUCUGCCCCUAGCAUGUCUGUGUGAAGACGUGUCUAAGACGUGUGACCUAGAGCUGGCCCCUACCUGCAGCUGGUGGGUGGGGCCAUCGCACACGUGCAGAGAGGACAACAACCUGCACUGAGCCACCCUCCACUGGUGACCCCGUGGCCACCCAGCGGGCUGCUUUGCAGAUGAGGAAACCGAGGCCCCAGAGGUUAGGUAUCAUGCCCAGGCUCAUGUGGCUGGUAGGUGAUGAGCCAGGAUAGGAGCCAGACCCUCUGCCCUGCUCCCCGGAGCCCGUGGCACAUCCGGGGUGUCCUGCAUGCGCCUGUGCAGGAAUCAGGCUGACAGCUGGGUCAGGACGCACAGCCAGGAGACUGGACCCCGGCACCAAAUCCCCUGUGACAACUGGACACCUCAUUCUACUCUUGGUGCUGCGUCUCCUUGUCCAGAGUAGGACACACCCCUCCAUCUCCUUUCUCUGGAAAGUUGUGAGAAUUUGUUUCUGUUGAAUCGUUUGAAGAAUCAUGAAAAAAAUUUUUCAAAUGCCAGUUUUACAAAAUAAAGGAUUGGUCGUAAGUUUCCCUUUGGGGGGCCCUGAGACCACAGGAAUCCCAGCGUUCCUGGGAUAUAGUGAAUGGACCUGACUUCCCUGCUGACACGCGGUGGCUUUGCAUUCCAUGUUUGGUCGCCAUCAGAGGAGACCUGGGGCCUUCUAGAGAUGGGCACGUGUGUCUCCAGGUCCCGGAUUCGGGCCUUUCCGAGGAGCCCUGGGCUGACACUCCUGUAAGUGGCGUCUGCACACUUGAAGCGGCUCCGACAGCUGGUCUUGAGGGGCCGUAACUAGACACCCUGCAAACUGGAAGAGAUUAGCUCUGACCACAGGGCACCCAGCAGACCGGCACUUAAUAACCUUCCCAAAUGUGUGAAGCACUUAGUUCUAGAAUAACAGGAAGAACUGGACUGCGGCACGGCGGGCUUGAGAUUCCUCCUGGCCAUCCUCUUCCUCUGGCCAGCCAGCACGGUGACCACAGCCCCGUCCAGCUUCCCAGGGUCCCCCUCCUGGGGCGGCGCGUCCCAGGGAGAUGACAUGCAGGCUCUGUGCCCUGCACAAUGACUCCCUGAGGCCAGUCUUCCUGAGGAAGCAGCCCAGGCUGCAGCCCAGGCCAGGGAAACGUGAGUCUCCACCAAAUCCUCCGCGCCACGGAAACCGCUGCAAAAUUGCUCCCUUCCUCCCCGCAUGGCUGGGCCGGCGGCUCCGGGAGGCCUCCGACAAGAGGGCAUUGUGUGGCUGGACCCCUCCCCUGCCACAAAGGGGGCCUUUCAGGGCUGCCAACGGGGCGGGUGGGGACCCCGAGGCCCCUUGGAGACGGCUCUGGGGCUCCGAGGCGCUCCUGGAACUCUUGGGGUGCUCCUUCUCGGCGCCGGGCUCCGCUCCUGCCAGAGGCCCGCGGGUUCGUGCAGGGAGAAGCGCUCGGCUGUUAUGUGAACAGAGGGACAGAGAACGCUCGGAUUUCUCUGUCGGGAGGUCAUUUCCCCCGGAAGGUCCACAUGGGGAUGGUGGAUUCAUGGUGGGAGCCUCGUUCAGAAAGGGACGCAAGAGACUGGCCGUCCUGGUGGCCUCGGGGAGCUGGGAGUUUGGAGACAGCAGAGGAGGGAAAGAAACUGCGCGGCGUGUCCCCGCAGGCUUUGGAAGACGGACACGGGAACAGAUAUCUAAUUUAAACAUAUCUUCAUCCUGCCCAAGGCCAAGUGUAUACCGUCUCAGAGAGGGAGGGCGUCCGGGAGGCAGGAGCCCAGCCGGCUGCUGGCGAGGCCCCGUGCCUGCUGGGAGAUCUGCUGUCUGCAGAGUAGCCUCGCUGUGCCAGUAACCAAGGGACUGUGGGCUCCGGGGUUCAGUGACUUCAGCCGCCUGUGGUGACCACUACCCUCUUCGGAUAGAAGUGCUGUUUCUUUUUCAUGGACAAAAUGGUUCUCAGACUGGAGGCCACAUUCCCUCCUGCCUCCUGGGUGAGGCUGGCUGGGCUGAGGCUCAUGGGGGCUGCUGCCCAGGGAGGCCAGAUUUACAGCUGAGCUAGGGAGGAGGCCCAGGAGGAGGAGCAGCCCCAGGGACCUCCUGCCACCCUUGCCACCAAGGCGGGGUCACUGGCCUCUGUGCAUGGGCAGGGAGGGUGUUGUUCUCCAAGGACACGGCACUCGCUGAAGCCAGUGUUUUAUUGCUAGAAACAGGAGAGCCCGACCUUGAUCCACCUCUGCCCCCGUUAAAACUAACCGAAAUGUCCCCUGUGUCCGAGUGACCCCAAGCAGGAGGACUGAGCUGCAGACUUUCCACCAGGAGGCUGGGCAGCUGCGGAGUCUUCCAGUGUGAUGGGCACAAUCCGUUCUGCCUGUGAAGCCAAGAGGGGACAAACAGGUCUGUUGAGGGCCGCAGCCGAGUCGGGAUGACGCAUGGCAUUUUUGACAGAAGUAGUGGUCGAGAGGUGACCCCAGGGAGCCAUUAAGAUGAUGACUUUUGAGUUCUCGCGGAGUUCCCGUUGAGUUCCGGUUGAGCUCUCCCGGGGAUUCCUGCAGAGUUCGCGUUGGUUGGUGAGGUUCCGGUGGGGGGAGUUCCGGUUGGUGUGUGGUGGUUGCUGGAGGAGUCGCGUGGGUGGCGUUCGGGAGAGUUCCCGGGGAGUGUGCUGGUGGAGUUUGGAAAUAAAGUUUGUUCCUGCUUGAGUGGUUCGUGAUUUGUGCCCAGCCAGACUGUGGCACAGGUCAGGUCCCCGGGACCUGGAACGGGGUCUGGAACACCUUCUCUAUCAUUAGGGAGAGCCUGAGUUGGGCACCGCGGCAGCAACCUGUCAUCCCUGCGACUUGGUCUCAAGUUCAAGACCAGCCUCAGCAACUCAGCCCUACAUAAUUUAGAGAGACCCUGUUUCAAAAUACAAAACAAAAAGGUCUGGGGAUGUGGUCAGUGGUUAAGCUCCUGUGGGUUCAAUUUCUGGUGCAAAAAAAAAAAGAAAGAUUGACAUAAACUUGAGAGCCGUUUUAAAGGGUUUUUAAAAUGUUCCUUGAAACGGAACAGAAGAAGAAAUACAAUCAGUCAAUAAAUACUUGAAAAAAUAUUAAAUAUUAGUGACAAUUAGAGAAAAGCAAAUUAAAACUACACUGAACUAAUUAGAGCAAAUAAAAAAAAAAAACUAAACUGAGAUUUCAUCUCAUUCCAGUCAGAAUGGCAAUUAUCAAGAAUACAAGCAACAAUAAGUGUUGGUGAGGAUGUGGGGAAAGGCACACUCACUCACUGCUGGUAGGAUUGCAAAUUGGUGCAACCACUCUGGAGAUUCCCCAGAAAAUUUGUCAUGUCAUCACCAUAUGACCCAGUGUCCCACUCCUGAGUAUGGAUCCAAAGGAUUUAAAAUUAGCAUACUACAGUGACAUGCCCUCACCAAUGUUUAUACCAGUUCAAGUCACAAUAGCCAAGCUGUAGAACCAACCUAGAUGCCCUUCGACAGAUGAAUGGAUAAAGAAAAUGUGGUGCAUAUACACAAUGGAAUAUUACUCAGCCAUAAAGAGAAAUGAAAUUAUGGCAUUUGCCAGUAAAUGGAUGGAACUGGAGACUAUCAUGUUAAGUGAAAUAAGCCAAUCCCCCAAAACAAAGGCAGAAUGUUCUCUUCAAUAUUCGGAUGCUGACUCACAAUAGGCAGGGGGAAGGGCAGAG
rnacentral:lncRNA from 1 species